ensembl:lncRNA novel transcript, sense intronic to MSANTD2
AUCACAAGAUUUCUUUAAAUGCUAAGGUCUGAAAUAAGGUCUUUAUUUUUUUCAUUAUUCAUCAACAGAUAGUGCCUACUGCAGUAGGUCUGAGAGUUACGGUAGUAUACCAUCACCUUCAAGAUGUCCAUCUUGUAAUAAAGGAGUCAGAUUACUAAGGAACCAAUUACAAUAUUGUGAACAAGGUCUUGUGUGUCAUGUUAAUGUUAUGCUUAUGGUGCUACAGGAGCACACACAUCCUAGGCUUUCAAAAGGUGGAUCCUGAAGGGUGAAGGUGGACUCAAAGGUAGAUGAAUAGUUAGUGUAAAAGCUCAGAGGCAGCAUAACCUAGAAUAGUGCCAACUGCAAAUAUAAUGAGAUAUACUUACCAAAGAAUGCAAAACUGGAAGCAUCCAAACAGUGUUCAGCUGUUUAAAAAGUCAUGCUUUUUAAUUGAAGAAUAAUUUGCCAGUAGUGCAUGGCAUGUGGUGAAAGAGUGAUGUGGGAGCCGUAAAUGAUGCCUUAGUGGUGUCAUAAUCACGUAGAAUGGUGGAGCCAGUAGUUUUGGGAUGACAUUAUAGUGAACAUACCAAUUCCAGGUCAUUUAUAUGUUGUGAUGAGUAACAACUUUUUUAUGGUGUUGAAUUGCAGUUGCGCAAAUAUCCAUUACAUAUCUCAUUUCUUAAUUUGUAUACUGGAAAGUAAAACCAAAACAGUGCAUCUUUUUUUGACCACAACUCACAGGAAGAAGAAAUAUAUUUUACCCUGGGACCUAGUAGUUUCAUGACAUAUAUGUAUAACUGAAACAGAUUUCACAAAACAGUGAUUAUAGCCAACACAUAGUAUUUUCUAUGUGCCAUGCACUAUUCUAAGUGCUUUGUAAAUAUUAACUUAAUCCACAUAAUGACACUAUACUGAACUACAUGUAAUAUACUCUGAUAUGUUCUGUUCUAAUUGAAGGCAGACACUCCAGCUGUAGAGCCUCUUUCAUAACAGUAUACACAGUGAAUGCACCUAACACAAUACCUGCCCCUGGCGGGGGAUCUUUCUCUGCCCCACAUCCUCCUCCUCCCCAGUGCUUGUCAGCAUUGGCUCCCCUUUUCACCCCAGUCUCUGUGGUACCUCUCAUCUUUCCCCUUCCCCAGCCACAGCCUUGCCUGUCUCCAGAAAUGCCCUCACCAAAUGCUGGUGCAAAGAAAGUCUGGAAGGAUGGAAGCUGCCGAUCCCACUGAUAUUGGGCAGCGGGCUUACUCCUCGGAGACUGGCAGCUCAGGGUCACAUUGGUGACCCUUCUGUCUGCACCCUUCUGUCGUUUCAUUUAUCCCUUCUCCAACUCUUGCCCUCAGCCAUUUAGGAGAGUGACUCGCCUGACCUCCCAGUGCAGGUGGGGAGGGGUCCGGAAGUCUGUGCUUCUCACUCACCCUGUACACUGAGUUCUAAGGUUUUGAUGAUGUAGCCCGUAAUGAUGCCUUGUUUGUCUUGCACAUUCACGGAGCAGCUGUAGGGGCCAGAGUCUCUCUCCUGGAGACCCUCCAGCCACAGGGACAGUUCUAGGAGGGCAUGGAGUAGACCAAGGAUACUCCAGGUUUGCUUGUUGUGACCCCAUUGAUGGUCAAUGAUGGCAUUCUCCAAAUGUCCCUCACAUGCACCCAUUCUUCCAACCUGAAACCAGCUCCCAUUCACCUUUUGUCCCUAGCCCCCUUUCACUGUCCCUGGGUCCUCUUCACCAGAAUAGUUCACUUCUUGGUCCCUUACACGUUAUCUCUUCAUCUCCUACUUGUGUUUAGAAAGGUGGUCACAACUUGCUAAAAUUAAUUGUACAACCCACUAAUGGGCCAUAACCUACAGUUAAAUAAAAGAGGACUAGAAGAUAAUACAGUGAGAUCAAGAUUUUUUCAUUCAUUGUGUUCUUUUAGACUGAACCUAUUGAAACUCCAGAAACAUUAAUUUGCAACAUCUGUCCCAGAUAUUCUGGUGAAAUUAUAUUACAUAGUUUUAGAUAGCUUGAGCCUAAGCUUUGAGAUAAAGGGUGAAGCAGGGGAGUGGGAAGUAGUAAGAAAUGAGACUGGAGACUUAAACAAGAGGUCAGGUGAUACGCUAAGGCGUUUGGACUUUAUUCUAAUCAUCAAAGGAUUUUAAGCCAGGCAAUGACAUGGUUAGUCUUAAAUUUUAAAACAGUCCCUGGCUGUAAUAUGGAGAAUCAAAAGAGUAAGACUGGAAGCACAAAGAUUAUUUAGAGGCUUCUUGCAGUAAGCUAGAUGGAAAGUGAAAUAAAGCAGUGGUAACGAAGAUGGAGACACAAGAAUAAAUUUCAUAUACAUCAAAACCGAGGACCUGUUUCGAAGAAUCUGGGAAUUUUAAUUUCCAGAAUUUGUUAGAUCCUAACCUGUGAGACAACUCACUAUCUACUUCUCUACCAGCUUACACAGAGGGUUCUUGACUGCAGUCAAAGACCAUAACAGUAUUUCAUAGCUGAAGUUUUCAGGCUUGAUUUCUAAGAACCCAAGGAAAACCAACUGAAAUACCAAAUGAAGACAGUCCUGUCUGUAUUUCCUCUACCAUAUACUCUCUGCAGACUCUUCAGUUCUGCUUCCCAGUCUUCAGAAGUGAUUAUCCUGCUUUCCCCCCCGACUUUUUCACAAUAUUACCAGAGAGUAAGAACUAAAAUUCAGAUCCAGUAUUUCAAAUGUUAAGUGUCAUGUAGCUAGAUACCUAGAUUUGUGCUCCUAGUGUUACGUUAACGUAGAACCAGCAGUUGUUUUCUAUGGAAAAUUGUAUCUGUGUAAUGUUAAAACAAACGAAAUAAAAUAGAAGGAAAAACUUUCUGAGUUUCAAAAACAACAGACUAGUACUCUAAAGAACUCUUUAAAACAAUUAACUGUUAGGAUUGCAGUUAUGAUUGGAUAUUAUUUAAUUCUGUUUCUGAUGUGGGGUUCCUCCACUGUGUUCUGUGUGCUAUUAAUAUUUACCAUUGCAGAAGCUUCAUUCAGUGUUGAAAAUGAAUGCUUAGUGGAUCUGUGCCUCUUAUGCAUAUGUUACAAAUUAUCUGGAGUUCCUAAUCAAUGCAGAGUUCCCCUCCCCUCCGAUUGUUCUAAAUAAUUGAAAGAUGUCUGCUGUGGAAAAAGGCAUGUAUUUAAAUCUGUAUGAUUCUCAACCAUCUUUAGUUGGGAAAGGUCCUUGAAAGCCAAUGGAAAUACUUUUUUUUUUUCUUGGCACUAAUCAAGUGAGUGUUACCUUUUCACUUAGUAGGAUGUGUUGUUACGCUAGUAAAAUAGAAACCUGUGUUUAUUCUCAGGUAUUUUAGAAACAACAGCCAUCAUUUUAUUUUAUGUGUGUGUUCUUGGCUGUAUUCAUAAAUUAUAUAUUUUGGGCUAUCAAAUAUUACUUCAUUCAAUAUAAAUAACAAUAGUAGAAGUUGUUUACUUAGAUAUGCUUUCUAGUUGCAUUUUCUCAGCCUAUGUAAGACUACUUUGUUGUAAUAGCCUUUGAAAUUUACAGUACUGUCUCUCUACUAUCUUCAGAUUACUUGAUUCAAAUAAACCAAUUAUGUUUGUAAUUGAUAUUAAUAAAACCAGAAUAAAAGUUCAUAUCUACCCAAAA